GAAGGACAAGGAUGGAAAGACUAGAGAAUCUUGGAUGUCCAGAGAGGUGAUGAAUUUGGUCAAGAAGAAAAAGGAAAAGUAUGUAAAGCUUCAGAAACUGGGAUCAAGCGAAGUACAUGAAGAUUAUAAACAAGCCAGAAAAGAACUGAAGAAAGGAAUUAGGAAAGCCAGGAGGGGCCAUGAGAAGUCCUUGACAAGUUGGAUUAAGAUGCCGUGUUCUUUCAGCAUUUUGUGAGCAUUGCUUCGGAUGUUGAGCUUCUGUGGACUUUCUCGAGUUUGAAGUUUACCCAGAGACUGGUGAUCCUCCAGAACACAGCACUAUGAUUGGACGGGGAAUUUACCGAAAAAAUAAAAACGACAGAACUUAUGAAAAAAGCUAUACAUGAACAGACAGAGACUGACAAGCAACCAAAGUGCAAAAG